rnacentral:rRNA from 1 species
CCGGGACGUAGGCGGCCUGGUAAAGAAUGCAAGUCGAGCGCUAAUUUUGGUGUAGCAAUAUAUCAGAGUUGGAGCGGCGCAAGGGUGCGUAACACGUGGGUAAUUUGCCAUGAAGUUGGGGAUAAUCCCGCGAAAGCGGGACUAAUACCGGAUGUGGAGUUUGGGUGGCAUCAUUUGAACUCUAAAGCUGGGGAUCGUAAGACCUGGCGCUUCAUGAUAAGCCCGCGGCCUAUCAGCUAGUUGGUGAGGUAACGGCUCACCAAGGCUAAGACGGGUAGCUGGUCUGAGAGGACGACCAGCCACACUGGAACUGAGACACGGUCCAGACACCUACGGGUGGCAGCAGUCGAGAAUUUUUCUCAAUGGGCGCAAGCCUGAAGGAGCGACGCCGCGUGGGGGAUGAAGGGUUUCGAUCCGUAAACCCCUGUCAUUUGUGAACAAUGGUGAUGAUUUAAAAGAUGAUCACUUGAUAGUAAUGAAAGAGGAAGGGACGGCUAACUCUGUGCCAGCAGCCGCGGUAAUACAGAGGUCCCGAGCGUUGUUCGGAUUCACUGGGCGUAAAGGGUGCGUAGGUGGCUUGAAAAGUUUGAUGUGAAAGCUCAGGGCUUAACCCUGAAAUGGCAUUGAAAACUGUCGGGCUGGAGGUUUGGAGGGGGGACUGGAAUUCUUGGUGUAGCAGUGAAAUGCGUAGAUAUCAAGAGGAACACCAGUGGCGAAGGCGAGUCCCUGGACAACACCUGACACUGAGGCACGAAAGCUAGGGGAGCAAACAGGAUUAGAUACCCUGGUAGUCCUAGCCCUAAACGGUGCGCGCUUGCUGUAAGAGGAAUCGACCCCUCUUGUGGCGAAGCUAACGCGAUAAAGCGCGCCGCCUGGGGGAGUACGGUCGCAAGAUUAAACUCAAAGAAUUGACGGGGGCCUGCACAAGCGGUGGAGUAUGUGGCUAAUUCGAUGCAACGCCGAAGAACCUUACCUGGCCUUGACAUGCAUUUUGGUAGAACCAUGAAGUGGGACGACCCCGCAAGGGGAGGAUGCACAAGGUGCUGCAUGGCUGUCGUCAGCUCGUGUCGUGAGAAUGGUUGGGUUUAGUCCCCGCAACAAGCGCCAACCUUGUUGUCUGUUGCCACCUCCUCAGAGAAAGAAGCACCUCCUGGGACCAGACUGCCUCCCCUUAACUGGGGAAGGAAGGGUGGGGUGAUG